AUGGGUGUUUCUAAGCUCUCUAUGUCAGUAUGUGAUGAUCUGAAUAGGAUGGUGCGGAACUUCUGGUGGGGCUCUUCGGAAGGGAAGAGGAAAACACAUUGGCUGGCCUGGCCCAAAAUUUUGGCACAGAAAAUGAAGGGCGGACUGGGCUUCAGGGACUUCCGCCUGUUCAAUCAGGCCCUGCUAGCCAGGCAGGCGUGGGGCUUACUCACUAAUCCUGCUAGUUUAUGUGCGCAGGUGCUCAAGGCGCGCUACUGCCCGGAGGGCCACCUCGAGGACACGGUCUUCUCGGGGAACGCCUCACCUACUUGGCAAGGCAUCCAGCACGGUCUUGAGCUCUUGAAGAACGGCAUCGUGUGGCGCGUCGGUGGGGGCCAUAACAUUCGCAUAUGGCGUGACCGUUGGCUGCCUACUGAGCCGUCGCGCCAACCCAUUACUCAGCAAGGAACCUGCCGACUAAGGAGAGUGGCGGAGCUCCUCGACGAGUCAGGCAACUGGCGAAUGGACCUCCUCCGUCGCCACUUCCUUCCUCCGGACGUCAACUCGAUUAGUAGCAUCCGGACAUCGCCGCGCGUCACCGAUGACAUCCUCGCAUGGGCGCCGGAGAAGAACGGUAUCUUCACCGUUCGUUCCGCCUAUCGCCUAGCCAUGGACGAGCGCGAGCGUCCAUUGGCAACUUCUACGAGCAGGGCACCGGAUGGUCGUCGCGCCGUCUGGAAGACCAUA
rnacentral:rRNA from 1 species